UGGGGAAUAUUGGACAAUGGGGGCAACCCUGAUCCAGCCAUGCCGCGUGUGUGAAGAAGGCCCUCGGGUUGUAAAGCACUUUCAGCGAGGAAGAACGCCUAGUGGUUAAUACCCAUUAGGAAAGACAUCACUCGCAGAAGAAGCACCGGCUAACUCCGUGCCAGCAGCCGCGGUAAUACGGAGGGUGCAAGCGUUAAUCGGAAUUACUGGGCGUAAAGCGCGCGUAGGUGGCUUGAUAAGCCGGUUGUGAAAGCCCCGGGCUCAACCUGGGAACGGCAUCCGGAACUGUCAGGCUAGAGUGCAGGAGAGGAAGGUAGAAUUCCCGGUGUAGCGGUGAAAUGCGUAGAGAUCGGGAGGAAUACCAGUGGCGAAGGCGGCCUUCUGGACUGACACUGACACUGAGGUGCGAAAGCGUGGGUAGCAAACAGGAUUAGAUACCCUGGUAGUCCACGCCGUAAACGAUGUCGACCAGCCGUUGGGUGCCUAGAGCACUUUGUGGCGAAGUUAACGCGAUAAGUCGACCGCCUGGGGAGUACGGCCGCAAGGUUA
rnacentral:rRNA from 1 species